UACAGAGGUCUCAAGCGUUGUUCGGAUUCAUUGGGCGUAAAGGGUGCGUAGGCGGCGCGGUAAGUCGGGUGUGAAAUUUCGAGGCUUAACUUCGAAACUGCAUUCGAUACUGCCGUGCUAGAGGACCGGAGAGGAGACUGGAAUUUACGGUGUAGCGGUGAAAUGCGUAGAUAUCGUAAGGAAGACCAGUGGCGAAGGCGGGUCUCUGGACAGUUCCUGACGCUGAGGCACGAAGGCCAGGGGAGCAAACGGG
rnacentral:rRNA from 1 species